rfam:Triticum aestivum genome assembly, contig: Triticum_aestivum_CS42_TGACv1_scaffold_093084_2AL
AUACUACUCCCUCCGUUCUGAAUUACUUGUCAUAAGUAUGGAUGUAUCUAGAUGUAUUUUAGUUUUAGAUACAUCCAUUUCUGCGACGAGUAAUUUAGAACGGAGGGAGUAACAA